UACGUAGGCAGCAAGCGUUGUUCGGAAUUACUGGGCGUAAAGAGUGUGUAGGCGGUUCUCUAAGUUCGGUGUGAAAUCUCCCGGCUUAACUGGGAGGGUGCAUCGGAAACUGGAGGGCUGGAGUAUGGGAGAGGAAAGCGGAAUUCCUGGUGUAGCGGUGAAAUGCGUAGAUAUCAGGAGGAACACCUGCGGUGUAGACAGCUUUCUGGACCAUCACUGACGCUGAGACACGAAAGCCAGGGGAGCGAACGGG
rnacentral:rRNA from 1 species